GUGCUCGCUUCAGCAGUACAUAUACUAAAAUUGGAAUGAUACAGAGAAAAUUAGCAUGGUUCCUGCAGAAGAUGACACACAAAUAAUAUGACUGCAUCUUAGAAAAUAUCU